GGUGUUUCUUGGUUGAUUAUGAAGUUGUCUAUUACAAGCACUUGAUUAAUUCAUGAGACUAACACAAGGGCAAGUUAAAACGCUGCUCCGACAUCGCAGAACAGCGGCAUGAUUAAGUAGAAGUGAUGACAUCGGUGUAGGUUACAGAGUGGACACAAGUUGGAGCUGCAGCAGAGUCCAUCCAAAGUUUCAGAAGCUGGCUGAGAAAGUCUGCAAUAAGAGGAUAAGGAAGCAGAAGAGGGCUGGGAGGGAGCUGCUGUUGGACCUGCUGCACUCAGGCUUGAAAGGCUGAAGCAAACGGAAUGGGUCAAGAGCUGGAGACAGAUCGGGAGCAAGAAAAGGAAAAAGAUGUCACACAACCUUGGGAAAACACAUGAGCAAGCACGUGCAGGCGUUCCAAUGCUCCAUAAAGAAGCUGUCAUGAGAUUACCACCAUGCAGCUUUUAGACAACAGAAUCAAGCUCACGUGUGAUCCAGACAUCAUGAAGAAUAAGUAAGCUGGCCUCUCUAGACCCCACAGAACCCCAGGUAAUGAUAAGAAAUAUGUAAUUUAACCUCAUGAGUCCAAG
rnacentral:lncRNA from 1 species